rnacentral:rRNA from 1 species
CAGCUGUAAACUAUGUGCGUUAGGUGUGUCAGUGACCACGUGUCACUGAGGUGCCGAAGGGAAACCGUGAAACGCACCGCCUGGGGAGUACGGUCGCAAGGCUGAAACUUAAAGGAAUUGGCGGGGGAGCACUACAACGGGUGGAGCCUGCGGUUUAAUUGGAUUCAACGCCGGAAAUCUUACCGGGACCGACAGCAACAUGAAGGCCAGGCUGAAGACUUUGCCGGAUUAGCUGAGAGGAGGUGCAUGGCGUAGUCGUGU